rnacentral:rRNA from 1 species
UACGAAGGGGGCUAGCGUUGUUCGGAAUUACUGGGCGUAAAGCGCACGUAGGCGGAUAUUUAAGUCAGGGGUGAAAUCCCGGGGCUCAACUCCAGAACUGCCUUUGAUACUGGCGAGCUUGAGUUCGGGAGAGGUGAGUGGAACUGCGAGUGUAGAGGUGAAAUUCGUAGAUAUUCGCAAGAACACCAGUGGCGAAGGCGGCUCACUGGCCCGAUACUGACGCUGAGGUGCGAAAGCGUGGGGAGCAAACAGG